AGAAGCAAUCUGUGAAGAAGAGAGGAAGAAAAAUAGCUUACGAAGGUGAAAAGCCCCGUCAAGUUCGGAAGUGUUGUGUUGUGGUCAGCAUAAAAAUAAGAAAAGGGUUCACCUUCGAGGAAAAAGUAGGUAGAAGAAUCGAGGUCGACACGAUGGCUUCGGCUGGAGUAGGUGGGCGAGAUGCCAGCAGGAAGAAUGUUCCCAGCAGCAAAGGUGGUUCCGUUUUCGGGAUGCUCCGGGUCACAAGAGUCGUGUUGAUAGUGAUGAUGUCCUGCUGCUGGUUGUUAGUGUGUGGGAAGCCGUUUGUGCCGCCGCCAUCAGCCGGAAAUCGACAGCCAAAGGCAUGGGACUUCGAUGAUAAUGUGCAAAACUACUUGAUGGAGUUUGGUUAUUUGCCCAAAUCGAACAUUGAGACGGGCAAUUUGCGGACAAUGGAGCAGCUACAGGAAGCGGUGCGGUUAUUUCAGUCCUUUGCCAACCUGGAUCCGUCGGGCGAAAUCAACCGGGAAACGUUGGAACUGAUGCGGAAGCCCCGUUGCGGGGCUCCCGAUCUGUCCAAUUCCCUCGAUUUCAUGCCCUCGAACAGUCUGAGUCCACUUGGGUUCGAUCACCGACGGCAGCGGCGCUUCAUUAUCCAGGGCCAGAAGUGGGAACAUCCCAUCGUAACUUGGAGGUAAGAGGACCGCGAACAGAAGAAAAAAAAAAUCAGAUUGCUUAAUUUGACCAUCGUAAGCAUACGAGUCACGUACGUAGAGGGUGGUGGUUUGCGGUGGGGAAUGGCCAUUUGCGAAGCAAUUUGCAGAAACUAGUCAGUCCAAGGUAAGCCAACAUACGUGCCCCCUUGUAGGGUGGUACCUACAAACAACCAUAUGGUCGAUUUAGUCGUUCACGGCGCAAACUUUUAUCACUUUAACAACACUAAAAGUCAGCGACAGUCAGUAGCAGCAGCAGCAGCCACCAAACAACUGAUCCCGACUUGGGUUGACACCGGGGCUGGUCGUAG